GCGUAAUAUUUCAGCCAAGGAAGUCGCCACCAAAAGUCUUGUUUCCUGGGAUGACAGAGGAGACAACUGGGGCACCACAAGUGGCAAGACCUCAGACGGAAAUGCCACUUUUGAGACAACUUCAGGUCACAACUUUGACUCAGAAAUUUACCACAUCAGAGCAUAUAAAUUUUAGUCCUCCAAGCACUGUUGUGCUGGAUCAGAACAUGUCUCAGGAUGUGCCGAGUGCCUCCCAGUCCAGUGGCAGUCAGACAUUCCGGGUUUCGAUGCCACAUGUAACAAUGCCAAGGCCUUCCCAGUUAUUGAUGCGAAGUCCACCAGAAUUAAGGACUGAAAUACCACCUCAGUCACCACAACUCACUAUGCCAAG